AAAUUGCUUGACAUUUAGCUGCUUGAAAAUGUAAAAUUGAAUGAAAAUAACAAGAUAUAUAAGUUUCAUUAUAUCAUUUUUUUAAUGUUUGUGGAAUGUUUUAAUAUCAAUAUGUAAAAUUGAAGUGAGUUGCCAGAACAACUGGAACAAAAUACUCUUAAGCAGGAAAAAUUCUUUAUUUUCAGUAACAUUUUUGGCAAGACAUUUGCUCUGUUCAGUCAUUCUGAAUAGAUAUGUAUAUUCAUCAUUACACUUUAAAGCAUUUUAAUUAAAACAAUAAAUAUUGGUCCUCCAUCUCUAGGCACCAUUAUUCUAUCAACAUUGCACAUUAAAUGUUUUUCCUAUCCUUGUAGAUAUGAACAUUCAAUGUUAUAUAGAAAACAGAGUGGGAAAGAGGAAUAAAAUAUUGUACAGUCAAACCCAGAGUUAUGGCACUCCAGAUUUAACAUAUAUUUUGAAUUACCACCAUUCCUCAAAAUUUGUGUUUUGGAAUUAUAGUUCUUCAGCAGCAUUUUUGAAAAAACAGAAUGCUUACUUUUUCAAAAUAAGAUCUAUAGCAGUGGUGUUCAACCUUUUUUGUUAUGCGAGCUACUUUUCUAUACUAAGUUAUUUGGCGAUCU
rnacentral:lncRNA from 1 species